GGGACGAUAAUGACGGUACCAGGAGAAUAAGCCACGGCUAACUACGUGCCAGCAGCCGCGGUAAUACGUAGGUGGCGAGCGUUGUCCGGAUUUACUGGGCGUAAAGAGCGCGCAGGCGGUCGUGCAAGUCGGAUGUGAAAUCCCCCGGCUCAACUGGGGAGGGUCAUUCGAUACUGCUCGACUCGAAGGCGGGAGAGGGAAGCGGAAUUCCCGGUGUAGUGGUGAAAUGCGUAGAUAUCGGGAGGAACACCAGUGGCGAAGGCGGCUUCCUGGCCCGUUCUUGACGCUGAGGCGCGAAAGCUAGGGGAGCAAACGGGAUUAGAUACCCCGGUAGUCCUAGCCGUAAACGAUGGACACUAGGUGUUGGUGGUAUCAACCCCGCCAGUGCCGAAGCUAACGCAUUAAGUGUCCCGCCUGGGGAGUACGGCCGCAAGGCUAAAACUCAAAGGAAUUGACGGGGGCCCGCACAAGCAGCGGAGCGUGGGGUUUAAUUCGAUGCAACGCGAAGAACCUUACCAGCUCUUGAC
rnacentral:rRNA from 1 species